GAUCCUGGUUGAUUUUACACGCGAGUGCAGCCUGUAUCAAAGAGAACUCAUGAUCCUAGGUGGGAAGGUCGGGGUGGUGGAGAGCGAGAAGCAGGUGUCAUCAGCUUUAUCAUUGAGAAGGGGAAAAAAAUGUAUCCCAAAUUUUUUUUAAAAUAGUUCUUUUUUUAUUUCAGACCAUUUACUUAAAAAAAAAAACCAAAACAAAAAUCCAAAAAAAAUGGCUCGGCGCGUUGGUUUUGAAGGGAACAUCGGCGCAGGGAAAACCAGUUUGAUAAAGUUGGUAACAGCCCAAGCGCCCGAGCGGUUUCGCUUUUAUCCCGAACCUUUGGACGAGUGGGAGGCUUUGGGCAAUGUUUUGGAGGGGUUCUAUGCUGGUGAACCUGGGUCCGGGUUCCUAGCUCAAACAUUGAUAAGUCAGACUUUGUUGCGCCGAGAUAUCCCACGCACCCGAUGUCGGCGGGAGAUAGGCUUGUACGAACGCAGUCUGAUGAGUGCCCGUCAGUGUUUCAUUCCUGCAAUGCUGGUUCAAUCUCAACUUCGACCUGUGGAAGCGGCUAUUUUGAAUUGUGGGACCAGUUUUCACCUCUCCAUGUGGCCUCAUCUAAACCCUCAGAGGAUUGUCUAUGUUGAGUGCGAUCCGGAGACGGCCUACAACAGAGUUCUGGAACGGGGUGGGGUAGAGGGGGGACGCGUGACUCUGGGUUACCUGGAGAGGCUUCAUGAGUUUCAUGACGAGUGGUUGGGGCGGGGAAACCCCCGGGUUAUCAGGGUAAACACAUCCUCCGUAGAGGAGGCUGACAUGGUCAGACUGGCCAAAGAUUUAGCCGACAUGCUGCUUCUCCCACCUCCCCUACCCCCCCGUUCUCAGAUUUUCCGAGUGGACGAAUAACUGCUCCCCCAGGAUUUGUUCCCUCCUUUCAGGCAAGACAAAUUAAUAAAAGGGGGGUUGGGAUGGGAAUUUUUAUUGUUUCUUCUUUAGAACCCUUACCAAGUUUUGGGAGAGUUUUGGGAAUACUUGAGUGGAGCCAGAGAUCUUCUCAGCGCUCAUCCGGACACUCUAACGCUGGUUCUCACCACAUCAUGGCACAGUGCUGCUGAGUGGGGAGCGGGUUGGGUUCGAGCUCCUGAAGGCUGGAAUGCCGUAAGAAAUCUCCUUCACGAGAGUUUCCCAACACGUGACGAGAUAUGGGUAGGAGACCGAGUUCCUGAGACGGUUUGGGAGACUGUUGAUGAGGGGGUGAGCUUUAACUGGCCAGAAACCCGUCAACAAUUGAACACCCGAUCUAUUCUCCGCUUGGAGUAGAGGUGC